rnacentral:rRNA from 1 species
UGGGGAAUAUUGCACAAUGGGCGAAAGCCUGAUGCAGCAACGCCGCGUGAGUGAUGAAGGCCUUCGGGUUGUAAAGCUCUGUCUUCUGGGACGAUAAUGACGGUACCAGAGGAGGAAGCCACGGCUAACUACGUGCCAGCAGCCGCGGUAAUACGUAGGUGGCAAGCGUUGUCCGGAUUUACUGGGCGUAAAGGAUGCGUAGGCGGAUACUUAAGUCAGAUGUGAAAAUCCCGGGCUUAACUUGGGAACUGCAUUUGAAACUGGGUAUCUAGAGUGCGGGAGAGGAAAGUGGAAUUCCUAGUGUAGCGGUGAAAUGCGUAGAGAUUAGGAAGAACACCAGGGGCGAAGGCGACUUUCUGGACCGUAACUGACGCUGAGGCAUGAAAGCGUGGGGAGCAAACA